UGGAACUGUGAAAGUCUGAAACUAGGGUUUUCCUUCUCCAUUGCAUUAUCUUCUUCAAUCUUCCCUUCGUCUCAGUCUCACACUGGCCAUAUUCCCAGCUGUCGCCUCUCAGCUUUCACACCGGCCACCAUGGCACCGCCCCCCACUUCCUUCUUCAAUUUUCCCUUUGUCUCAGUCUCACACGAAAGCGGAAGUCGGAAAGUCCAGUUCUCGUCGCGACGGCGCUCACGCUUUGUUCAGUCGCUGCGAUGCUGCUGUUGUUGCCUCCAUUGACAUUGGAGGUUCCUUGAAGAACAGAAUCUAGCUCCAUUACUAUCAGAAUGAGUGACAAAGAUUCCUAUACAAUCAACACACCAAGGGACAAAAGCUCCAUCUCCAUUUGGACAAGCAAAGUGUUUGAGCAAUUAUCCAGCAUUGGCGCAUUGGAUCUUAUGGCUCACCAACAAACUGCAUUGUUGUUUUCAGUUUUAGACUUUUAAUUUGUAUUAUUGGUGUUUGUUUUUUGGGCUGAUAUCAUUAUCAUUUAUCAAAUUUAUUUUGUUGAGUGUUUGUUUUAUGGGUGCAAGCCUGCAACACAUUAAACAACAACUUUUUAUUUUGUGUUAGUGCUUGACAUUUUAUUUUCAAUUUAUGUUGGUGUAGACAACAAAAUGAACAAAUUUGUAUUUGGUUUUAUUCGACGGUGAUUUGAAUUUUGGUGUUAAA